UACGUAGGACCCAAGCGUUAUCCGGAGUGACUGGGCGUAAAGAGUUGCGUAGGCGGUCUAUUAAGCAGAUAGUGAAAUCAGGUGGCUCAAUCACACUGGCUAUUAUCUGAACUGGUAGACUUGAGAAUGGUAGAGGUGAUUGGAAUUUCUAGUGUAGGGGUAAUAUCCGUAGAUAUUAGAAGGAACACCAAUGGCGUAGGCAGAUCACUGGACCAUUUCUGACGCUGAGGCACGAAAGCGUGGGGAGCGAACCGG
rnacentral:rRNA from 1 species